GAUGAACGCUAGCUACAGGCUUAACACAUGCAAGUCGAGGGGAAACGACGUCGAAAGCUUGCUUUUGAUGGGCGUCGACCGGCGCACGGGUGAGUAACGCGUAUCCAACCUGCCCACCACUUGGGGAUAACCUUGCGAAAGUAAGACUAAUACCCAAUGAUAUCUCUAGAAGACAUCUGAAAGGGAUUAAAGAUUUAUCGGUGAUGGAUGGGGAUGCGUCUGAUUAGCUUGUUGGCGGGGUAACGGCCCACCAAGGCGACGAUCAGUAGGGGUUCUGAGAGGAAGGUCCCCCACAUUGGAACUGAGACACGGUCCAAACUCCUACGGGAGGCAGCAGUGAGGAAUAUUGGUCAAUGGGCGAGAGCCUGAACCAGCCAAGUAGCGUGCAGGAUGACGGCCCUAUGGGUUGUAAACUGCUUUUAUAAGGGAAUAAAGUGGGAGUCGUGACUCCUUUUGCAUGUACCUUAUGAAUAAGGACCGGCUAAUUCCGUGCCAGCCGCCGCAGUAACAC
rnacentral:rRNA from 1 species